CCGAGUUUACAACUCCCAAACCCAAUGUGAACCAUACCGAACUGUUGCCUCGGCGGGGUCACGCCCCGGGUGCGUCGCAGCCCCGGAACCAGGCGCCCGCCGGAGGGACCAACCAAACUCUUUCUGUAGUCCCCUCGCGGACGUUAUUUCUUACAGCUCUGAGCAAAAAUUCAAAAUGAAUCA
rnacentral:misc_RNA from 1 species